GAAGAGACAGUAUAGAGAGAUCAGAAACAGUGUAGAGAGACAGAGUAGAGAGAUCAGAAGAGACAGUAUAGAGAGAUCAGAAGAGACAGUAUAGAGAGACAGAGUAGAGAGAUCAGAAGAGACAGUAUAGAGAGAUCAGUAGAGACAGUAUAGAGAGAUCAGAAGAGACAGUAUAGAGAGACAGUAUAGAGAGAUCAGAGACAGUGUAGAGAGAUCAGAGUAGAGAGAUCAGAAGAGACAGUAUAGAGAGACAGUAUAGAGAGAUCAGAGACAGUAUAGUGAGACAGAGUAGAGAGAUCAGAAGAGACAGAGUAGAGAGAUCAGAAGAGACAGUGUAGAGAGAUCAGAAGAGACAGUAUAGAGAGAUCAGAAGAGACAGUAUAGAGAGACAGUAUAGGGAGAUCAGAAGAGACAGUAUAGAGAGACAGAGUAGAGAGAUCAGAGGAGACAGUAUAGAGAGAUCAGAAGAGACAGUAUAGAGAGAUCAGAAGAGACAGUAUAGAGAGAUCAGAAGAGACAGUAUAGAGAGACAGAGUAUAGAGAUCAGAAGAGACAGUAUAGAGAGACAGAGUAGAGAGAUCAGAAGAGACAGUAUAGAGAGACAGAGUAGAGAGAUCAGAGACAGUAUAGAGAGAUCAGAGGAGACAGUAUAGAGAGAUCAGAAGAGACAGUAUAGAGAGAUCAGUAGAGACAGUAUAGAGAGAGCAGACGUUGGGUGUAUAUGUUUCCGCUCCAACAGACUCCCCGCCAGUAAACACACUAGAUCGUUAUCAUGAUAAAUCAUUGGCUUAUUCCCUGCGUGACUGUCAUAUACUGUUUCUUGGAAAUAAUAAAUGAUUGAAAUGUUUCAUCACCUUUUAUUGUUUUUAUAUUUCAGUCAGGUUUCGUAAGUCAGAUUUUUGUUACAAUCAUCAGUUGGACUGUUGAACCCAUUGUAGAACUGGGCCUAGGGCAAUUCUGGCAAAUGCCAGAUGGGCUGGUCCAUCUUUAACUCAGUGGGUCGGUCUAAAUUGGGGAUUUAGAGCAAAAUGAUCAUUAUUAUUUGACUAAUUAUAGGAGCCAAGAGGAAAUAAAUGGGAUAG
rnacentral:lncRNA from 1 species